CCUACGGGAGGCAGCAGUGGGGAAUUUUGGACAAUGGGGGCAACCCUGAUCCAGCCAUGCCGCGUGAGUGAAGAAGGCCUUCGGGUUGUAAAGCUCUUUCAGCCGGAACGAAACGGUUACGGUUAAUACCCGUAACUACUGACGGUACCGGAAGAAGAAGCACCGGCUAACUACGUGCCAGCAGCCGCGGUAAUACGUAGGGUGCGAGCGUUAAUCGGAAUUACUGGGCGUAAAGCGUGCGCAGGUGGUUUUGUAAGUCAGAUGUGAAAUCCCCGGGCUUAACCUGGGAACUGCGUUUGAAACUACAAGGCUAGGGUGUGGCAGAGGGGGGUGGAAUUCCGCGUGUAGCAGUGAAAUGCGUAGAGAUGUGGAGGAACACCGAUGGCGAAGGCAGCCCCCUGGGUCAACACUGACGCUCAGGCACGAAAGCAUGGGGAGCAAACAGGAUUAGAUACCCUGGUAGUCCAUGCCCUAAACGAUGUCAACUAGUUGUCGGGUCUUAACGGGCUUGGUAACGUAGCUAACGCGUGAAGUUGACCGCCUGGGGAGUACGAUCGCAAGAUUAAAACUCAAAGGAAUUGACGG
rnacentral:rRNA from 1 species